UAGCUCAAAUUUGAAAUCUGGCUCUUUCAGAGUCCGAGUUGUAAUUUGCAGAGGGCGCUUUGGCGUCGGCAGCGGCCUAAGUUCCUUGGAACAGGUCAUCAUAGAGGGUGAGAAUCCCGUAUGUGGUCGACUGUCUUCACCGUGUAAAGCCCCUUCGACGAGUCGAGUUGUUUGGGAAUGCAGCUCUAAAUGGGAGGUAAAUUUCUUCUAAAGCUAAAUAUUGGCCAGAGACCGAUAGCGCACAAGUAGAGUGAUCGAAAGAUGAAAAGCACUUUGGAAAGAGAGUCAAAAAGCACGUGAAAUUGUUGAAAGGGAAGCGCUUGCAGCCAGACGUGCCUGUAGUUGCUCAUCUGGGGUUUUCCCCAGUGCACUCUUCUAUAGGCAGGCCAGCAUCAGUCCGGGCGGUUGGAGAAAGACCUGUGUCAUGUAGCUGUUUUCGGGCAGUGUUAUAGGGCAGGUGGAAUGCAACCAGCCUGGACUGAGGUCCGCGCAUCUGCUAGGAUGCUGGCGUAAUGGCUGUAAGCGGCCCGUCUUGAAACACGGACCAAGGAGUCUAACAUCUAUGCGAGUGUUUGGGUGUCAAGCCCGAGCGCGUAAUGAAAGUGAACGGAGGUGGGAACCUUAGGGUGCACCAUCGACCGAUCCUGAUGUCUUCGGAUGGAUUUGAGUAAGAGCAUAGCUGUUGGGACCCGAAAGAUGGUGAACUAUGCCUGAAUAGGGUGAAGCCAGAGGAAACUCUGGUGGAGGCUCGCAGCGGUUCUGACGUGCAAAUCUAUCGUCAAAUCUGGGCAUAG
rnacentral:rRNA from 1 species